rnacentral:pre_miRNA from 1 species
GGCUGAGCCGCAGUAGUUCUUCAGUGGCAAGCUUUAUGUCCUGACGCAGCUAAAGCUGCCAGUUGAAGAACUGUUGCCCUCUGCC